rnacentral:lncRNA from 10 species
GCCCAUGGUAGACAUUCAUCAAAUAUUGGAAUAAAAAAAAAAAAAGAAAAGAAAGUGUAAACAUAUUUUUCUGGUUGCACCUGGAUGUGAGAUGAGCUGGAUGUUUCUUUUCCUGUCCAGAAGAGUGAGUGUGUAUUUGAUUCUCUGUGUUUGUCCAGUAGGAGCCUAAGGCCUUCAGGCAUGGGAGCCACCUUUAGCCUAACAAGGGAGUGUGGUCCCAGA